AUGUAUUUUGUUUUGUAUUUUAUGUAAGAGACCAAAAAAGUGGUCCAAAGUUGGUGGUUGUAUCAGGACAUGAUGUGAAAAAGUUCCAGCGAUAUGAACACCUUUGCAAGGACCUGUAAGAGUUGAGAUUAAUUCAAGCACACUACAGCUGCAGAUAAAGGUUUCUACUUGUAUUUACACCUUUAAUGCAAUAACUGACAGAGAAAAAAACUAACCAGAUUCCUCUGUGUAUCGUUUAGGUUGUAACAGAGCCAGAGUUGUGAGCCAGGGGUGUGUGUGACACAAAAACCUGGGAGGCAGCCAUCGAAGUUACGUUUUCCAAAACCAGCUGGUCCACCUCUGCCUCUCUGAGCUGAGUCAAAUCCCCUAUCAGCAGGACACAUGACAAGCGGUCCCUGUCCGCCUGCCAGUGAAGGGUUGAUCUCACAAAAGCAAAGGUCCGUCUGCCUCAGAGGACCUCUGACAGGUCAUCUAAUGCCUUUGUAACUUUUUGGAGCAUUUAUAAGCAGCCAUGCUGGCCUGAACAGAAACCCAGCAUCAUCAUGUUAAAGCGUUGGAUGACGGCAGGGUCAGAUGAGGCUGCUGGGAAACGGAGCACACUGGUUUUUGCAGAAUAAGCUGGAACCUUUGGGCUAGUGAGGGCAAAUGUUGGCCCACUGCCACAUUUUGGGUGUGGUCUUCCCUUCCCGAAAAAAGUCCUGUCACACACUGUCCCCACAGCCAAGGUCAUCUGUGUCACUUAGACUCAUAGUAUGGUUUCCUGUCUGUCUUAGUCACUUGCCCUGUUUUUUUUAAUACUAUUUUCUGUGCACUUCACCUCAUCUGUGUCUAAAUCAUGGAAAUAUCUUGUCAUGCUCAGUUUCUGUAGCAAAUAAAUCAAAAUUUUGAUCUCUUU